UGGGGAAUUUUGGACAAUGGGCGCAAGCCUGAUCCAGCCAUGCCGCGUGCGGGAAGAAGGCCUUCGGGUUGUAAACCGCUUUUAGCUGGGAAGAAAAGGCGCCGGAUAACACCUGGCGUUCUUGACGGUACCGGCGGAAUAAGCACCGGCUAACUACGUGCCAGCAGCCGCGGUAAUACGUAGGGUGCGAGCGUUAAUCGGAAUUACUGGGCGUAAAGCGUGCGUAGGCGGUUCGUUAAGUUCGUUGUGAAAGCCCCGGGCUCAACCUGGGAAUGGCAAUGGAAACUGGCGGGCUAGAGUGUGGCAGAGGGGGGUGGAAUUCCACGUGUAGCAGUGAAAUGCGUAGAGAUGUGGAGGAACACCGAUGGCGAAGGCAACCCCCUGGGCUGACACUGACGCUCAGGCACGAAAGCGUGGGGAGCAAACAGGAUUAGAUACCCUGGUAGUCCACGCCCUAAACUAUGUCAACUGGGUGUUGGGGAAGCAAUUCCUCAGUACCGCAGCUAACGCGUGAAGUUGACCGCCUGGGGAGUACGGCCGCAAGGUUAA
rnacentral:rRNA from 1 species